UAGUAGUACGGAAUAAUUGUUGGAAACGGCAACUAAUACCGUAUACGCCCCACGGGGGAAAAAUUUAUUGCUAUUAGAUGAGCCUAUAUUAGAUUAGCUUGUUGGUAGGGUAAUAGCUUACCAAGGCAAUGAUCUAUAGCUGAUCUGAGAGGAUGAUCAGCCACACUGGAACUGAGAUACGGUCCAGACUCCUACGGGAGGCAGCAGUGGGGAAUAUUGGACAAUGGGCGAAAGCCUGAUCCAGCUAUGCCGCAUGAGUGAAGAAGGCCUUUGGGUUGUAAAGCUCUUUUAGUGAGGAAGAUAAUGACGGUACUCACAGAAGAAGUCCUGGCUAACUCCGUGCCAGCAGCCGCGGUAAUACGGAGAGGGCUAGCGUUAUUCGGAAUUAUUGGGCGUAAAGGGCGCGUAGGCUGACUAAUAAGUUAAAAGUGAAAUCCCGAGGCUUAACCUUGGAAUUGCUUUUAAAACUGUUAAUCUAGAGAUUGAAAGAGGAUAGAGGAAUUCCUAGUGUAGAGGUAAAAUUCGUAAAUAUUAGGAGGAACACCAGUGGCGAAGGCGUCUAUCUGGUUCAAAUCUGACGCUGAGGCGCGAAGGCGUGGGGAGCAAACAGGAUUAGAUACCCUGGUAGUCCACGCUGUAAAC
rnacentral:rRNA from 1 species